CCUACGGGAGGCUGCAGUGGGGAAUAUUGCACAAUGGCCGCAAGCCUGAUGCAGCCAUGCUGCGUGUAUGACGAAGGUCUCAGGGUUGUUAAGUACUUUCAGCGGGGAGGCAGGUGAUAAGGUUAAUACCCUUGUCAAUUGACGUUACCCGCAGAAGAAGCACCGGCUAACUCCGUGCCAGCAGCCGCGGUAAUACGGAGGGUGCAAGCGUUAAUCGGAAUUACUGGGCGUAAAGCGCACGCAGGCGGUCAAUUAAGUCAGAUGUGAAAGCCUCGAGCUUAACUUGGGAAUUGCAUCUGAAACUGGUUGGCUAGAGUCUUGUAGAGGGAGGUAGAAUUCGAUGUGUAGCGGUGAAAUGCGUAGAGAUGUGGAGGAAUACCGGUUGCGAAGGCGGCCCCCUGGACAAAGACUGACGCUCAGGUGCGAAAGCGUGGGGAGCAAACAGGAUUAGAUACCCCGGUAGUC
rnacentral:rRNA from 1 species